AAGCGAGAGAAGUUGUAAACAAGCUGCUUCUUAAACACGUCCGUCGUUCAGCCUUUCUAGAUAAGGCCAGCGCGCAUAUGUUGAGUUACCGUGAGGCAUGUGUAAGUAGCCUACUGAAGUGGACUAAAGCAAAACAGAGCCCCAAAACAGUGCAGGGAAGAAAACUUUAGCCCAAGAUGUGGAUUCCAGCAAAUGUAAAACAAAGCACUUGCACAUUUUUGUUUUUGUUCAGAACAGCAGUGUUUAC